rfam:Trichobilharzia regenti genome assembly, scaffold: TRE_scaffold0002581
GUACCACUGAAGAGUCCCACCCUAGGACAAAACAGCUGUCCAGUAC